UGGCGAACGGGUGAGUAAUACAUAAGCAACCUACCCACGAAGACUGGGAUAAUCUCUGGAAACGGGGACUAAUACCGGAUAGGUAAUCGGAAGGCAUCUUCUGAUUAUUAAAGGUUAAAAACACUGGUGGAUGGGCUUAUGGCGCAUUAGUUAGUUGGUGAGGUAACGGCCCACCAAGACGAUGAUGCGUAGCCGGCCUGAGAGGGUGAACGGCCACAUUGGGACUGAGACACGGCCCAG
rnacentral:rRNA from 1 species